UUCGUCUCAGCGAGUACAUGGUUAAAUAUCAAUAGUUUCAGCCUGAAUUUCGAAGGUCACGGGUCACGGUGGCCCGCGAUUCGACGGAUCGGAAGGCGGAAAGAGUUCUGCGGAGUGACAAAGUUAUCAGGCAAGGGUUGGUAACUUACUUGCUCCUUCUCCUGCUGAUUUCUCGGCCAGAGUGUCGCUGUUAAGUAGAUGUCGCCGAGAUGCUGUUUCGGCCUGGCCGGGUCCUUCAGCUCCAGCACGAUGUCCUGCGGCUGGCCGAGCUCUAGCUGCGUUAGCUCUAGCUGCGCGGCGCCCAUGAAGUCGUCCUGAAGACCCCAGUCAUAGUCGAAGACCUGCCGAAAUGACGAAAUGUAUUAUUUUCAAAAGAUUCAAAAAAUUAUAAAACGUCAAUGUAUUAUUUUCGAAACAACGGUUGACGCGACUUCAAACGCUGGAUAUAAAACAAUUAAAAGAUUAAAAGAAUUAUAAAAUGUAA